UACGAAGGGGGCUAGCGUUGCUCGGAAUUACUGGGCGUAAAGCGUGCGCAGGCGGUUCGUUGUGUCGGUGGUGAAAUCCCCGGGCUUAACCUGGGAAUGGCCAUGGAAACUGGCGAACUGGAGUGCGGCAGAGGGGGGUGGAAUUCCGCGUGUAGCAGUGAAAUGCGUAGAGAUGUGGAGGAACACCGAUGGCGAAGGCAGCCCCCUGGGCUGAGAUUGACGCUCAGGCACGAAAGCGUGGGGAGCAAACAGG
rnacentral:rRNA from 1 species